rnacentral:tRNA from 1 species
AAGUCGAUAGCUCAGUUGGUAGAGCGGUGGACUGUAGAUCCAUAGGUCGCUGGUUCGAAUCCGGCUCGACGGA